AGAGUUUGAUCCUGGCUCAGGACGAACGCUGGCGGCGUGCCUAACACAUGCAAGUCGAACGGGACUUAGGGGAACAAGCUUCGGCAAGGGAACUUAAGUUUAGUGGCGGACGGGUGAGUAACGCGUGAGCAACCUGCCUUUCAGAGGGGGACAACAGUUGGAAACGACUGCUAAUACCGCAUAAUGUGUUUUGAGGGCAUCCUCGGAACACCAAAGAUUUUAUCGCUGAAAGAUGGGCUCGCGUCUGAUUAGUUAGUUGGUGGGGUAACGGCCUACCAAGACAGCGAUCAGUAGCCGGACUGAGAGGUUGAACGGCCACAUUGGGCACUGAGAUACGGCCCAGACUCCUACGGGAGGCAGCAGUGGGGAAUAUUGGGCAAUGGGGGCAACCCUGACCCAGCAACGCCGCGUGAAGGAAGAAGGCUUUCGGGUUGUAAACUUCUUUGACGAGGGACGAAACAAAUGACGGUACCUCGAAAACAAGCCACGGCUAACUACGUGCCAGCAGCCGCGGUAAUACGUAGGUGGCAAGCGUUGUCCGGAUUUACUGGGUGUAAAGGGCGCGUAGGCGGGAUGGCAAGUCAGAUGUGAAAUGCCGGGGCUUAACCCCGGAGCUGCAUUUGAAACUGUUAUUCUUGAGUAUCGGAGAGGCAGGCGGAAUUCCUAGUGUAGCGGUGAAAUGCGUAGAUAUUAGGAAGAACACCGGUGGCGAAGGCGGCUUACUGGACUGAGACUGACGCUGAGGCUCCAAAGCGUGGGGAGCAAACCCCAAAGGUACCCUGGUGAGUCCACUCCGCACCUGAUGCACCGUAAGUGGUCUGGAGUGAAUAGUCUUCGGUGCCCCAGCAGACGCAUUAAGCGUUCCACCUGGGGAGUACGUUGGCGGAGAAUGGAACUCAAAGGAACUGACGGGGACCCGCACAAACGGUCGAGCACGUGGGUUAAUUCGGCGCAACGCGAAGAACCUUACCCGUCUUUGCGAUCCCAAUGAAACCCGGAGUGACGUCUGUGCCCUCUUCGGAGCAUUGGUGACAGGUGGUGCAUGGUUGUCGUCAGCUCGUCUCGUGAGAUGUUGGGUUACGUCCCGCAACGAGCGCAACCCCUAUUUCCAGUAGCCAGCGGUUUGGCCGGGCACUCUGGAGAGACUGCCAGGGAUAACCUGGAGGAAGGUGGGGAGGACGUCAAAUCAUCAUCCCCCUCAUGAUGUGGGCUGCACACGUGCUACAACGGCGUAAACAAAGAGAAGCGAAGUCGUGAGGCAGAGCAAAUCUCAAAAAUACCGUCUCAGUUCGGAUUGUAGUCUGCAACUCGACUACAUGAAGCUGGAAUCGCUAGUAAUCGCGAAUCAGAAAGUCGCGGGGAAUACGUUCCCCGGUCUUCUCCACCCCCCCCGUCA
rnacentral:rRNA from 1 species